rnacentral:rRNA from 1 species
CCUACGGGUGGCAGCAGUGGGGAAUAUUGCACAAUGGGCGCAAGCCUGAUGCAGCCAUGCCGCGUGUGUGAAGAAGGCCUUCGGGUUGUAAAGCACUUUCGGCGGGGAGGAAGGCGUUAAGGUUAAUAACCUUGGCGAUUGACGUUACCCGCAGAAGAAGCACCGGCUAACUCCGUGCCAGCAGCCGCGGUAAUACGGAGGGUGCAAGCGUUAAUCGGAAUUACUGGGCGUAAAGCGCACGCAGGCGGUCUGUCAAGUCGGGUGUGAAAUCCCCGGGCUCAACCUGGGAACUGCAUUCGAAACUGGCAGGCUAGAGUCUUGUAGAGGGGGGUAGAAUUCCAGGUGUAGCGGUGAAAUGCGUAGAGAUCUGGAGGAAUACCGGUGGCGAAGGCGGCCCCCUGGACAAAGACUGACGCUCAGGUGCGAAAGCGUGGGGAGCAAACAGGAUUAGAUACCCUUGUAGUC